AUGUACAACUAACAUGAUCAAGGCACAUUUAUACACUUAUUUAAUUCCUUUUUCCAGUUGGGAGCUAUGAAGAUGUUCUUCAUUCCCAUCUUGAACAUAAGGUGACUAUGAGGAUCCUUCCCAACUUCCUUGUUAGAGACAUCAACAUGCUGUUCUGCAGAGGAUAAGUGGAUUGGCAGCAAUUUGGAGGGCUGAAGUAUUGUCUGAGUAUAGAGGUACUGGAAGUAUAAAUAAUGACACCAAGUUCCUGAAAUAAACCAACAAGCCAUACCACAUCAACAAUUGUUGAAGCCAUGGAUCUAUACUCAGCCUCUGCUGAACUCGUAGACACUAUGAGUUGUUUCUUACACUUCUAAGAGAAAGAUUUUGUCUUGUGCACUACACAAUUGGAUGAAUAGGGAUGACAAUGGAACAGCAAAAAGACGGUUGUGAGCGAACCUGCAAAGAUUUCAACCCACUCCGUCUACAUAGACCAACUCUUCUCCACAUAUGUAUUAAGUAUUAUUUUUUAUCUGAGUUUGACAUAAUAAAUCAAAUUCAUAAAAUUAGAAACCAACACAUAAGUCAUCUCCAGUCCCUUAAAGUUGUUUGCAUAUUUCAUUUAGACACCUUAA